ensembl:lncRNA
GGUAAGGCCAGGUUACCGCGGCUCGGCCCCGAGUGGGCUGCGGCCGGGGGAGGGGCGAGAGAUACAUAUGUAUUUCUGUCUCCCUAGCACACCCCCUUCCCUCUAAGCGAUGGCUGAGAGGCGGUGCAUGCAGAUGGGGAGCGAAGACUGGUCUUCUUGUCGGAUUGCCCAUGCACUUGUUGCAGAAACAGCCAAGGAAUGAAAUGUUGAGGCCUUGGACCAGGGUGGAGGCAUGAAUACAGACAAAAAGAAAGAGAGAUGGAAGGUUUCAGACCCCAACUGGGAUUUGACUUGCUGCCUGUGAGACCUGGAGCAGGUGACUUCAUUUCUUGAGGCUCAGUUUCAUCAAGUGUAAGCAGACUUUCAGAACACUGCAUGGGACUAGUGUGUGAGGGUUUUAACUUGGGUCGCACCCAACACACAAGUGUAAGAGGCAGGACUGGUGACUGGCGGGGAGGAAUCAGGGCAGCAGAGAAUGGACUGAAAGGGUUGAAUGUGGGGGCCUGGGAGAGUGAGGCAGCCCAGACAGCAAGCAGUGGCGCUGUGUGGGGUCCCAGGAUUCUUCAGUUGGAAGAAGGCCC